CGACGCAUCGCGGGAGAGCCGGCAGCCAACAUCGCCGGCACCGAAGGAGCAAGCCUCCCCGCCAAUCUCUCAGGUCGCAUCACCGCGAUGACCAG
rnacentral:ncRNA from 2 species